ACGAAGGCUCUUUUCAGAGCCACAUGUCUGUUCAGAGAAGGAAUUGU
rfam:Loxodonta africana unplaced genomic scaffold scaffold_32, whole genome shotgun sequence.